UACGAAGGGAGCUAGCGUUGUUCGGAAUCACUGGGCGUAAAGCGCACGUAGGCGGACUUGUAAGUCAGGGGUGAAAUCCCGGGGCUCAACCUCGGAACUGCCUUUGAUACUGCGAGUCUCGAGUCCGGAAGAGGCGGGUGGAAUUCCUAGUGUAGAGGUGAAAUUCGUAGAUAUUAGGAAGAACACCGGUGGCGAAGGCGGCCCGCUGGUCCGGUACUGACGCUGAGGUGCGAAAGCGUGGGGAGCAAACAGG
rnacentral:rRNA from 1 species